GAUGAACGCUGGCGGCGUGCCUAAUACAUGCAAGUCGAGCGAACAGACGAGGAGCUUGCUCCUCUGACGUUAGCGGCGGACGGGUGAGUAACACGUGGAUAACCUACCUAUAAGACUGGGAUAACUUCGGGAAACCGGAGCUAAUACCGGAUAAUAUAUUGAACCGCAUGGUUCAAUAGUGAAAGACGGUUUUGCUGUCACUUAUAGAUGGACCCGCGCCGCAUUAGCUAGUUGGUAAGGUAACGGCUUACCAAGGCAACGAUGCGUAGCCGACCUGGGAGGGGAAUCGGCCACACGGGACUUGAGAAACGUUCCAGAUUCCUAGGGGAGGCAGCGGUGGGGAUUUUGGCGCAAUGGGCGAAAGCUUGACGGAGCAACGCCGCGGGGGUGAGGAAGGUUUUCGGAUCGUAAAACGCUGUUAUUAGGGAAGAACAAAUGUGUAAGUAACUAUGCAGGUCUGGACGGUACCUAAUCAGAAGGCCACGGCUAACUACGU
rnacentral:rRNA from 1 species